GGUUUGAUGGACUCAGGAUUGAACGCUGGCGGGAUGCUUUACACGUUGGCAAGUCAGGCGGGCGGCACGGACUUCCGGUCUGGUGGCGAGUGGCGAACGGGUGAGUAAUGUAUCGGAACGUGCCUAGUAGCGGGGGAUAGCUACGCGAAAGCGUAGCUAAUACCGCAUACGCCCUUCCCGAGGAAAGCAGGGACCGGGCCUCGCACUAUUAGAGCAGCCGAUAUCGGAUUAGCUAGUUGGUGGGGUAACGGCUCACCAAGGCGACGAUCCGUAGCUAGUUUAGAGGACGACCAGCCACUGGGACUGAGACACGAGCCCAGACUCAGCUACGGGAGGCAGCGGUGGGGAAUUUUGGACAAUGGAAACCUGAUCCCAUGCAUCCCGCGUGUGCGAUGAAGGCCUUCGGGUUGUAAAGCACUUUUGGCAGGAAAGAAACGGCGCAGGAUAAUGCCCCGUGCUGACAGUACCUGCAGAAUAAGCACCGGCUAACUACGUGCCAGCAGCCCGCGGCAGCGGGUGCAAGCGUUGAAUCGGAAUUACUGGGCGUAAAGCGUGCGCGGGCGGUUCGGAAAGAAGAUGUGAAAUCCCAGGCUUAACUUUGGAACUGCAUUUUUAACUACCGAGCUAGAGAAGUGUGUCAGAGGAGGUGGAAUUCCGCGUGUAGCAGUGAUGUGGAUGGACUUACCGAUGGCGAAGGCAGCCUCCUGGGAUAGCUGACGCUCAUGCGAAAGCGUGGGGCAGAGCAGGAUUAGAUACCCUGGUAGUCCACGCCCUAAACGAUGUCAACUAGCUGUUGGGGCCCUUCGGGCCUUGGUAGCGCAGCUAACGCGUGAAGUUGACCGCCUGGGGAGAUGCGGUCGCAAGAUUAAAGCCAAAGGAAUUGACGGGGACCGCACAAGCGGUGGAUGAUGUGGAUUAAUUCGAUUUAACGCGAAAAACCUUACAUUAUGACAUAUGUUGGAAUCCCGAGAUUUGGGAGUGCUCCUGGGAGAACCGGAACACAGGUGCUACAUGGCUGUCGUCAGCUCGUGUCGUGAGAUGUUGGGUUAAGUCCCGCAACGAGCGCAACCCGCUGUCAUUAGAUUGCUACGAAAGGGCACUCUAAUGGGGCUACCGGUAGAUGCAAAACCGGAGGAAGAGUGGGGAUGACGUCAAGUCCUCAUGGCCUUAUGGGUAGGGCUUCACACGUCAUACAAUGGUCGGGACAGAGGUCAUCAACCCGCGAGAGGAUGAAUGUGGACGAUCAUGGUCCGGAUCUGAUCUUCGUGAAAGCGACUUGCUGAGAAGUCGAAUCGCUAGUAAUCGCCAGCGGAUCAACAUGUCGCAGAUGAUCGUUCCGGGUCUUGUACACCGCCCGUCACCAUGGGAGUGGGUUUUACCAGAAGUGGUUAGCCUAACCGUAAGGGCGAUUACCACGGUAGGAUUCAUGACUGGGGUGAAGUCGUAACAAGGUAA
rnacentral:rRNA from 1 species